CUGAUAUCCAGAAGCUCUUUGUCUAAUCCGAGGUGAGUGAUCUCUGUCCUGAUAUCCAGAAGCUCUUUGUCUAAUCCGAGGUGAGUGAUCUCUGUCCUGAUAUCUAGAAGCUCUUUGUCUAAUCCGAGGUCAGUGAUCUCUGUCCUGAUAUCUAGAAGCUCUUAGUCUAAUCCAAGGUGAGUGAUCUCUAAUCUGAUAUCUAGAAGCUCUUUGUCUAAUCCGAGGUGAGUGACCUCUGUCCUGAUAUCUAGAUGCUCUUUGUCUAAUCCGAGGUGAGUGAUCUCUGUCCUGAUAUCCAGAAGCUCUUUGUCUAAUCCGAGGUGAGUGAUCUCUGUCCUGAUAUCCAGAACCUCUUAGUCUAAUCCGAGGUGAGUCAUCUCGGUCCUGAUAUCUAGAAGCUCUUAGUCUAAUCCGAGGUGAGUGAUCGCUGUCCUGAUAUCCAGAAGCUCUUGUGUGUCUUUGGACAAAUGCUCAAACUUGUACACUUUUGAUAGACUGAAGGGGCAAUCUGUAAUUGCUCCAUCCAUUUCUGGACAUACAAAUGAUAUAUAUUGUCACGACUUCCGCCGAAGUUGGUCCCUCUCCUUUUUCCGGGGGCGAUCGGCGGUCGACGUCACCGAAUUUCUAGCCACCAUCGAUCCAUGUUUCAUGUUCGUUUUGUUUUGUCUUCAUUGUACACACCUGGUUUCCAUUCCAUAAUCAGUGUUCCUUAUUUAACCCUCUGGCUUCCCCUUUUGUUUGGUGCGUGAUUGUCACGGUCAAGUGGUUUAAUUUAUCAAAUCAAAUCAAAUGUAUUUAUAUAGCCCUUCGUACAUCAGCUGAUAUCUCAAAGUGCUGUACAGAAACCCAGGCUAAAACCCCAAACAGCAAGCAAUGCAGGUGUAGAAGCACGGUGGCUAGGAAAAACUCCCUAGAAAGGCCAAAACCUAGGAAGAAACCUAGAGAGGAACCAGGCUAUGUGGGGUGGCCAGUCCUCUUCUGGCUGUGCCGGGUGGAGAUUAUAACAGAACAUGGCCAAGAUGUUCAAAUAUUCAUAAAUGACCAGCAUGGUCGUAUAAUAAUAUGGCAGAACAGUUGAAACUGGAGCAGCAGCACGGUCAGGUGGACUGGGGACAGCAAGGAGUCAUCAUGUCAGGUAGUCCUGGGGCAUGGUCCUUGGGCUCAGGUCCUCCGAGAGAGAGAAAGAAAGAAAGAAGGAGAGAAUUAGAGAACGCACACUUAGAUUCACACAGGACACCGAAUAGGACAGGAGAAGUACUCCAGAUAUAACAAACUGACCCUAGCCCCCCGACACAAACUACUGCAGCAUAAUUACUGGAGGCUGAGAC
ensembl:lncRNA